rnacentral:sRNA from 1 species
CUCUCUGAGGGGUAGCAUGGGUUCCCACGGAGAGAGGUGUCUGGGUAAAAUUGUACAAAUGCCACAGACAAACCUCUCCGAUGUCUUUUUAUUUUGGGAUCCCAAAACCAAAUACUUGGUUGGAUUCGCUUCUUUGGAAUACCAUUUUUAACCUUCCAACAUGAGCCCGUUACCAAUUCACCGAAAUAGGGUUGGCAAGAAAAGAACCUCCUGCGACAGAUGCCAUACUCUGAAAAGCAAGUGUGCCAGAGCUCCAGGUUCAGAACGCUGCAGCCGAUGUGAGCGCAUUGGAAUCCGCUGUGUUUUCAGUGCAUCGAUGAAGUUGGGAAGACCAAAAUCACUUGGAAUUUUCCA